rnacentral:rRNA from 1 species
GAUGAACGCUGGCGGCGUGCUUAACACAUGCAAGUCGAACGGGGAUUAUUUUGACAGAGACUUCGGUUGAAGUCGUUAUAAUCCUAGUGGCGGACGGGUGAGUAACGCGUGGGUAACCUGCCUCACACUGGGGGAUAACAGUCGGAAAUGACUGCUAAUACCGCAUAAGCGCACGGGAUUGCAUGAUCCAGUGUGAAAAACUCCGGUGGUGUGAGAUGGACCCGCGUUGGAUUAGCCAGUUGGCAGGGUAACGGCCUACCAAAGCGACGAUCCAUAGCCGGCCUGAGAGGGUGGACGGCCACAUUGGGACUGAGACACGGCCCAGACUCCUACGGGAGGCAGCAGUGGGGAAUAUUGCACAAUGGGGGAAACCCUGAUGCAGCGACGCCGCGUGAAGGAAGAAGUAUCUCGGUAUGUAAACUUCUAUCAGCAGGGAAGAAAAUGACGGUAC